GUGCCUCAAUCUAUUGAGUAAGGAAAUUAUUGGGCCCUGAUAACUCUAGGCUAUGUCCGUAUGGGCGAACGUAUUUUUGUAGGGUACAGGUCGUCCCUUUGAGUCGUGGGCCUACUUUGCACGCGAUUCGGGUGAAGCGAUCUGCCCU